ACCCCUUUCUACACAGGUUGGGAUCAGUUGCAAUGCUGUGUGUGUCUGUGGUAUUGCACUUGUCCCGGCCUGUUGAGGUUGGUGGGGAUA
ensembl:miRNA microRNA 92a-1